rnacentral:rRNA from 1 species
UAAAAAUUUAUUUAUAUUAGGUAGUAACAGAUUUCUUGAAACCUAAAGAAUUUGGCGGUAUUUUAAAUAAUUAGAGGAACCUGUUAAUUAAAUGACAAUCCACAACAUAUCUUACCUAAGUAAAAAAUUUGUAUACCGUUGUUUUUAGAUUAUAUUUAAAAAUUAUGAUCGAAAUUAAUUUAUUUUUAUAAAUCAAAUCAAGGUGCAGUGUAUUUAGGUUUUAAUGGGUUACAAUAUAUUUAUAUAUAUACGGAUAAGUAAUGAAAAUAACUUUCAAGGUGGAUUUAAAAGUAAUUUCAAAAUAAAAUGUUGAGAUGAAUAAAAAUUUAAAAUAUGC